CCCUGUGGCAAUGAGCAAAGAGACACCUUGUUGGUGGUGGUGUUCUUAAAUUAGUCAACAGCAGAGCAAAUGGCCAUCCUUUAUUCAUCCUAGUUUGGUGCCUGGCUUGAUGGCCAAAGCUGUGUUAUGCUCAGGACUCAUAA